rnacentral:lncRNA from 10 species
AGCUGGGCAUGGUGGCACAUACCUAUAAUCCCAGCUACUUGGGAGCUUGGGAGGGUGAGGCAGUAGAAUCACUUGAACCUGGGAGGUGGAGGUUGCAGUGAGCAGAGAUCACAUCACUGCACUCUAGACUGGGUGACAGAGCGAGACUGUCUCAAAAAAAAAAAAAAAGAAAAAAAGAAAAAAAAAAGGAUGAGAAGGAUCAGCCCAAGAAUUUGGAGGGAAACUAGAAAUACAUACUGAAGCAUCCUUGGAACAAAGGGAGGCUGUGGUCAGAAGUGUUACACACCAUCAGACCCUAAACCAUGUUGCUUUUGUUUCGAUGUCGAGAAUAGUUUGGGGUGAUGAGAAAAUAAAUAUCUUUUUGGAAAUUCAGUAACUCAAAACCAAGAGCAUUUGAGUGAGGGGACAUGUAAAUCACCCUCCAGGGGAAGCUAAGGAGACUUGUUUAGUAAUACCAACUACAAAAUACAUACUGGAACAAGAAAUUAGAGGUGAGGGAUUUCAACUAGAUCUGACCCAGAGCUUCUCAGGGUCAGGGUAUUGUCUGUCUUACUCACCAACCUAUUUGCAGCUUAGGGUCUAGCAUUCAUUCAUUCUAUUCACCUAUCUUUGUUGCACAUGUAGGUACCAGGCACAUAGUAGGUAGUCAGUAAAUACGUUGGCUGAAUUAAGCUAUUUAUUUACACACACCAUGCUCUGAAAAGUGUGCAUCUAAAAAUCUCCAGAUUUACCUGCCUGACAAUUUUAGCUCUCAGAAUGCAUGGGCAGAAGAGACUUUAGAAGUAAAAAUAUUUUUCAGUUGCCAGUGAAGGAAUCUAGAUUUUUGAGUAGGUCUUGAGUUGUGUGAUAAUGAAAAUACUUAAUGAAAAGAAUUGUUAUUGGAUGAAUCUAUACAACCCCAAUUUUUUAUCUGCGAGCAAUUAAAAAAUAAGACAUAGGAAUAUCCCUUACUAAAAAUGUUAAGGAAAAAGGCCACUUGGGCAUUGGGUUGAGUGUGACCCUGAAUGAAGGUGAUGCCCUGAAUCUUCUGGGGAACCGCUCUGAAGUCAUGGUGAUCCGUAUGGAUUUCUUUGUCCUACCACAGGAGAUUUAACAUGGACCCUGGAUCUUUGAUGGGGAAAAAUAAACUCCCUUCCUUUGUGAUUCAUUUUGGAAAAAAAAGAGAAGAGGAACUAUAUAAUAAAAUUUACUCUUGGAGAUUCUGGGAGCAACAGGACAGAAAUCUUGCAGGUAGCAUGCUUUGGUUGGG